rnacentral:lncRNA from 1 species
AAUGCUGAAACUAUCAGGACUUUGGUAAGUCUUAGAAAUGGACUAAAUGCUUUUUGCAUAAAGGGUUGUGCGUGAGUCUUUGGGGGCUAGAGGUGGAAUGUUAUGGUUUGGGUCUGGCUGUCCCCUGAAAGCCUCCUCUGGUCAGAGGUGGCUGAAUCUGGAAUGUGUGAUGCUGGGAUUAAGGGCGUGUGGUUACUAAACCACUGCACGUGAGUGAGUGGGUGGGUGGGCACUGCCCUAAUCCUGGCAGUCCGGAUGGAAUAAAAGAGGCAGAAGAUGAGGUAAAGCUUUCUCUUAUUGCCUUUGCCACCUUGUGUGCGCUAUGUUGUUUCUCCUCUGCGAUGCCUGUUUGCCCUCCCUGCCUUGGAGCCAGCCAACUACGGACUGAAACCUCUACAGACUGUAAGCCAAAUAAAUCUCUUCCUCUUUAAUUUAAGGUGUCGGGUAUUUUGUCUCAACAAUGACCGAAAAGUAACACAGCUUCAGAACAAUAAACAAAAGGUCCAAGCCCCAAUACCACCUCACUAUAGACCAAGCAAUACAGAAGAAACAUUCAAGUUAUGAACCAAAAUGUAGAAAACAAAAGAAAACUUCACAUCUGAAGAGUAUUCCUAUACUUUGGCAUACGGAUACAAACAGCUACCUCAACAGUGUGGAGAAGAUAGUCUGUUCCAUGAGUGAUACUAGAGCAACCGGAC